ensembl:lncRNA
CAAAUCAGGUUUCUCACAUCCCAGGUGAGUGCUCUAAUAAAAGCUUUGGCUCUCCCAGGGUGGGUCUUCUUAAGUUCCGUCUUCAGGUUAUUCCAAUUUAAGUAAUUGUUUAAUUGUUUGGUGAGUCAGGAGGAGACUGAUUCUUAGCUUGAGCACUCAAGUGUGAUGUGAGAGGCUGGGUUCUGCUUUGUUUGGUUGCAGAUUCUUCUUCCUCACAUGGCUGAGUAUGAUAUGCAAAACUGCUCCAGACACCCAAAGCGACUGGGCCGUUCCCAUCAUCCGCAACCUGUUGUGGCUGCAGAGCUAACGAAGAUGGGCUUCUGAAGCCCUUCCUGAGAAGACCUUGAUAUCAAAGUCACCACACGUUCUUGUUGGAACUCUCAGUAAAAUAAGAGGUCUAUACCAAAUAUUGAAAAAUUAGUCUUAACAGAAUGAAAAACGAACUUGCUGAAUGUCCUAACUAAUGACAUAAACAAGGUGCCAUGUCAUUCUGCCCACCCUCUUUCAUCCAAAACCAGAUUAUGUUCUUCAUCUCUCUAAUGGUGCUAUUAGCAAAAUCACAUUGGAAGCCAGGACCUUAUUUGUGAUGCCGCUUCUCCCUUGGGGCGGAUAUUGAAGCACAGGCACAGUAUAAAACUUCAGAAAGAAGGCAAAUAUCAGCUACUUUUAGCCCAGGAUUAGCAGUUAAGACUCCUGAGUGUCAUCUGAACAUUGAUUAUUUGUCAGAUAAUGCAAUUACAUUUAAUGGAGGGCACUGCUCAGGAGUUACACAGUUUAACUAGCACUUUCGUUUUUUAUGCACUAUACUAUGUUCACAGUCGCAGUGGAGGCAUGAGUGAUGUUUGACACUCAGUUGCAGUAAUACUUUUCCAAAGCAGUUGCAUAUCACAGCACUGACAAACCCCAUAAAAUGCCUGUUCUGCACUCCUUGCUGCUGAGUCUUGUUUACACUCUCACUGAGAGGUGGAAGCUGCAGAAGAGUGGUGCUGGAGGAUGGUAUCUCACGUUGUGUGCCUGUCAGUGAGCUGACACUCUUGCUAUUGACUGUGACAUGUCACUUACAUGAAACCAUGCAGUGCUACUGCAGCUUGGGGCACGGCAUAGGUUAUGCAGCAAAUUGCAGUCGAUUUUCAUCUGUGUGUCAGACCAGCCAAGUGAAGCUAGAAUCUGAGCCCCCAAUUUUCAGGCUUUCCAUUCGCCCAUGAAAAGGAAGGAAGAAAAGAAAGAUGUGCUUGGGAUGGUUUAAUGUGAGUGAGAAGAAUCCUGUUCAUGUCCUCGUGUGAACCCUAAUACUAACUGGGAGGACUAGACUGUCUCCUCAUUGAAGUGUGUGAGGAGUGAUUAAUAAAAUUCAUGUCUCUGUUUUCCCUCUUGGCUUUAUAGUCUAACAAGAAGUCUUGGCUCCAGUCAGACAUGGGGAAUUUUACCACUGAGUUUAUUAGAGUUAAGAUUUCAUCUUCAAAAGGAGCUGAAGGGUUGUCAGCUUUGCUCCUGUGUGGACCGUGUGCUGAUUCAUGCUCCUCAUGAAUAUGGCAUCAGUCAUUCUGGGCAUCUUGUGAGGAAAAUUCCCUCUACUCAAAAAUGGACGAGGCUGGAGGACUGGUGGGCUUCUUCCUUCAGUGGCAUGGUCUGGAUUUUUGUAGGGCCUCCAUGUUGUGUAACUGUAGGCCAAACAGUUCCCAGCUGUUCUCUGUAGGAGUCAGAGAGACCAUAUCCUAAAUGCUUUUAUAUCAUAGUGAUAAUGUAAAUGCUGUUUCAAACGAAAAUGCAAAUUUGAUUAAGUUUCUGGACUAGUCUUAUUCGUGACAAAGCAGAAUUUGGUUCAGGCUUAUUUUAGAUACUGAGUUUCAAAGGCAUAGCCUUGGCUUCACUGAUACUGAAGUCUUCUAGGCUGCAUCUACACAUUUCAUCCUGGUAUAGGGUCUUCUGAGACUGUGACUCUGUUUCUGUUACCCAGGGCUAAAGUUAUCCCAGAACAGCUACCUUAAAUCUGGAAUGUAAGCCUUCUCUGUACUUCUACUUUAUUAGGGAAAAAAAAAAGGCGAAAAAGCCCCCCAAAACAACAACAACAAACAGCUAGUACAAAAGCUCAGUGGAAGCUCAGUUAUGGCUGACCUUCCAAUACUGUCUGAAG